rnacentral:pre_miRNA from 1 species
CACCCGCAGGCUGACCGGCCCCAGGCUGGGCUGGGAGAGUAUCUCUUUGAAAGGCUCACACUCAAGCACAGCCAGGAGC